rnacentral:rRNA from 1 species
UCCAGACUCCUACGGGAGGCAGCAGUGAGGAAUAUUGGUCAAUGGGCGGAAGCCUGAACCAGCCAAGUCGCGUGAGGGAAUAAGGCCCUACGGGUCGUAAACCUCUUUUGCCGGGGAGCAAGGGCCGGGACGAGUCCCGGUCCGGAGAGUACCCGGAGAAAAAGCAUCGGCUAACUCCGUGCCAGCAGCCGCGGUAAUACGUAGGGGGCAAGCGUUAUCCGGAUUUACUGGGUGUAAAGGGGGCGCAGACGGCGAUGCAAGCCAGGAGUGAAAGCCCGGGGCCCAACCCCAGGACUGCUCUUGGAACUGCGUGGCUGGAGUGCAGGAGGGGCAGGCGGAAUUCCUGGUGUAGCGGGGAAAUGCGUAGAUAUCAGGAGGAACACCGGUGGCGAAGGCGGCCUGCUGGACUGCAACUGGCGUUGAGGCCCGAAAGCGUGGGGAGCAAGCAGGAUUAGAUACCCCAGUA